rnacentral:rRNA from 1 species
AUUCCAGCUCCAAUAGCGUAUAUUAAAGUUGUUGUGGUUAAAAAGCUCGUAGUUGGAUCUCGGUGGUCUGAGGGCGGUUCGCUUCAGAGCACUACUGCCCUAUAGACCGUAGUUUUGCCAGAGGUCUCAGGGUGCUCUUAACCGAGUGUCUUGCGAUGCUGGCAGGUUUACUUUGAAAAAAUUAGAGUGCUCAAAGCAGGCCAACGCAUUGAAUACAUUAGCAUGGAAUAAUGGAAUAGGACUUUGGUCUUAUUUUGUUGGUUUCUAAGGCCGAGGUAAUGAUUAAUAGGGAUAGUUGGGGGCGUUUAUAUUCCGUUGUCAGAGGUGAAAUUCUUGGAUUUACGGAAAAUAAACUACUGCGAAGGCAUUCGCCAAGGACGUUUUCAUCA